CUCUGUUGUAAGGGAAGAACAAGUACGUUAGUAACUGAACGUACCUUGACGGUACCUUACCAGAAAGCCACGGCUAACUACGUGCCAGCAGCCGCGGUAAUACGUAGGUGGCAAGCGUUAUCCGGAAUUAUUGGGCGUAAAGCGCGCGUAGGCGGUCUCUUAAGUCUGAUGUGAAAGCCCCCGGCUCAACCGGGGAGGGUCAUUGGAAACUGGGAGACUUGAGUGCAGAAGAGGAGAGUGGAAUUCCAUGUGUAGCGGUGAAAUGCGCAGAGAUAUGGAGGAACACCAGUGGCGAAGGCGGCUCUCUGGUCUGUAACUGACGCUGAGGUGCGAAAGCGUGGGGAUCAAACAGGA
rnacentral:rRNA from 1 species